rnacentral:tRNA from 1 species
GCGGGAGUAGCUCAGUGGGUAGAGCGCAACCUUGCCAAGGGUGAGGUCGAGAGUUCGAGACUCUUCUCCCGCUCCA